UGUUGCUUGCAAGGGCGUAUGGUGGAUGCCUUGGCAGACAGGACCGAUGAAGGACGUUUGAGGCUGCGAUAUGCCUCGGGGAGCCGCCGACAGGGCUUUGAUCCGAGGAUUUCCGAAUGGGGGAACCCACCGACCGUCAUGGGUCGGUACCGGCUUCGGCCGGGGGGGUACGCAGGGAAGUGAAACAUCUCAGUACCUGCAGGAAAGGAUAUUCCGUGAGUAGUGGCGAGCGAAAGCGGAUGAUGGCCAAACCUUGCGCGUGUGAUACCCGUCGGGGGUUGCGCGCGGGGUGUUGCGGGAUCGCGUGCGCCGGCUCCGACGGGCCGGCCGGCAGUUGCAGAAAACCAUGUGUCAGGGGAACCGGGUUGAAUACCGGGCCGCAGAGGGUGAGGGCCCCGUACCUGAACGCGCAUGGUCUGCCGAUCGCGUCUCCCAAGUAGCACGGGUCCCGUGGAACCCCGUGCGAAUCCGCCCAGACCGUUGGGUAAGCCUGAAUAUUCCUGUCUGACCGAUAGCGAACGAGUACCGUGAGGGAAAGGUGAAAAGUACCCCGGGAGGGGAGUGAAACAGUCUCUGAAACCGUGCGCCUACAAUCCGUCGGAGCCCUUUUGUGGGGUGACGGCGUGCCUAUCGAAAAAUGAGUCUGCGAGUCAGUGGCAUGUGGCGAGCAUAACCCGUGUGGGGUAUGCGUAGCGAAGGCGAGUCUUAAAAGGCGUUUAAAGUCGCGUGUCCUGGACCCGAAGCGGGAUGAUCUAGCCCUGAGCAGGUUGAAGCGCGGGUAAGACCGUGUGGAGGACCGAACCCACCUGGGUUGAAAACCGGGGGGAUGACUUGGGGCUAGGGGUGAAAGGCCAAUCAAAUUCCGUGAUAGCUGGUUCUCUCCGAAAUGCAUUUGGGUGCAGCGUCGGGUCAUUACGUCCCGGGGGUAGAGCUACUGGAUGCUUGCGGGCCCGUAUCGGGUACCAACAGCAACCAAACUCCGAAUACCGGUGACGCGUAUCCCGGCAGUGAGUCGGCGGGGGAUAAGCUUCGUCGUCGAAAGGGAAACAGCCCAGACCGUCGUCUAAGGUCCCGAAGCGUGUGCUAAGUGGGAAAGGAUGUGGAGUCGCAUAGACAGCCAGGAGGUUGGCUCAGAAGCAGCCACCCUUGAAAGAG
rnacentral:rRNA from 1 species